ACGGCUCAGUAACACGUGGAUAACCUGCCCUUGGGUCCGGCAUAACCCCGGGAAACUGGGGAUAAUUCCGGAUAACGCAUAUGUGCUGGAAUGCUUUAUGCGUAAAAUGGAUUCGUCUGCCCAAGGAUGGGUCUGCGGCCUAUCAGGUAGUAGUGGGUGUAAUGUACCUACUAGCCGACAACGGGUACGGGUUGUGAGAGCAAGAGCCCGGAGAUGGAUUCUGAGACAUGAAUCCAGGCCCUACGGGGCGCAGCAGGCGCGAAAACUUUACAAUGCGGGAAACCGUGAUAAGGGGACACCGAGUGCCAGCAUCAUAUGCUGGCUGUCCAGGUGUGUAAAAUACACCUGUCAGCAAGGGCCGGGCAAGACCGGUGCCAGCCGCCGCGGUAACACCGGCGGCCCGAGUGGUGAUCGUGAUUAUUGGGUCUAAAGGGUCCGUAGCCGGUUUGGUCAGUCCUCCGGGAAAUCUGACGGCUCAACCGUUAGGCUUUCGGGGGAUACUGCCAGGCUUGGAACCGGGAGAGGUAAGAGGUACUACAGGGGUAGGAGUGAAAUCUUGUAAUCCCUGUGGGACCACCUGUGGCGAAGGCGUCUUACCAGAACGGGUUCGACGGUGAGGGACGAAAGCUGGGGGCACGAACCGGAUUAGAUACCCGGGUAGUCCCAGCCGUAAACGAUGCUCGCUAGGUGUCAGGCAUGGCGCGACCGUGUCUGGUGCCGCAGGGAAGCCGUGAAGCGAGCCACCUGGGAAGUACGGCCGCAAGGCUGAAACUUAAAGGAAUUGGCGGGGGAGCAC
rnacentral:rRNA from 1 species